GGCACCUUCCUGACCGGGGCAGCGCUACCGGACAGGCCCCUCUGGUGCUGCAAGGUCAGCUGCUGCGAGUCGGGGACGGCGUACAGGGCUUGGGGAGGGUUUGUCUGCGUAAACCGGCUUCCUUCUCGGCAGAAGUUGUUGCACCAAUGAGCAAGGCAAAUGAUGCAACACCUGAGGCUGUUGACGCGUUGAACUGAUCUCACAGCUGACUAACGAGGAGGCAGACAAGCAGAGCCUCUCCACAGGUAACAUCCAGUUUGGGCCUGUGUUGAAGAAUAGAAGGGACUCCAGUCUUGCUGCUCUACCUUGGAGCUUGCUCCCAGCCCAUAUAACCACAGACUCCCAGCAAAACUCUUUGGACACUAGAGUGCUUGCUUCAUUCAGUGAACAGGAUAGACCUGCUUCACAUGUGGGUCACCUUCCUGUGAAGAAGGCUGUUCCCUAUACAACACUGCCUCAUUAAUUGUAGAGCUCUCACAGUCCUCACCUGGUCCUCCUGAAAAAUCACUGGAUAAAGGGAUAUUAUCUGGAUAAAGUCCUGCACAUCAUGAUCUGACCCCAUAGCUGAUCCUGCUUCAAGAGGAGGUGAGACUAGAGACCUCCUGAUCCCUUUGAACUUGAAUUAUCAUGUGAUACUAUGAAGUCAAGGUGCUUUUCUCCAUUUCUGAAUAGCCUCCAUUACAAUAUGGGAUUUUAUUAAUUGCUUUGUACCAAGUAGUUUUGGUUUAUUGCACUGCCAUAAUUUUACCUCUACAGUACAGGAAUCCUUUAGACAAAAAAGGCAACCAAGCAUACAUCUCAUAAAACCAUAAAAUAUAGCCAGGGUUAUUGUUAUGCGGAAUGUGGUUGUUACAAAUUCCACAUAAACCAGGAGUUUAUGCCAAGAGCUCUCCAAAGUACUGUGCCUGGCCUUCCAAGAAUCUGGAAAUGUUAACACUAAGGCUAAGGAAGCUUGAUUUUUUAUUUUUUUUUUUUCCUCCUCCCUGUAAACAUGAUGAUAUUUCUCUGGGUCCUGCCUUCAAGUCCU